UAGGGAAUCUUCGGCAAUGGACGAAAGUCUGACCGAGCAACGCCGCGUGAGUGAAGAAGGUUUUCGGAUCGUAAAACUCUGUUGUUAGAGAAGAACAAGGACGUUAGUAACUGAACGUCCCCUGACGGUAUCUAACCAGAAAGCCACGGCUAACUACUUGCCAGCAGCCGCGGUAAUACGUAGGUGGCAAGCGCUGUCCGAAUUUAUUGUGCGUAAAGCGAGCGCAGGCGGUUUCUUAAGUCUGAUGUGAAAGCCCCCGGCUCAACCGGGGAGGGUCAUUGGAAACUGGGAGACUUGAGUGCAGAAGAGGAGAGUGGAAUUCCAUGUGUAGCGGUGAAAUGCGUAGAUAUAUGGAGGAACACCAGUGGCGAAGGCGGCUCUCUGGUCUGUAACUGACGCUGAGGCUCGAAAGCGUGGGGAGCAAACAGG
rnacentral:rRNA from 1 species